GCUUAGAAGCAGCCAUCAUUUAAAGAAAGCGUAAUAGCUCACUGGUCGAGUCGGCCUGCGCGGAAGAUGUAACGGGGCUAAACCAUGCACCGAAGCUGCGGCAGCGACGCUUAUGCGUUGUUGGGUAGGGGAGCGUUCUGUAAGCCUGUGAAGGUGUACUGUGAGGUAUGCUGGAGGUAUCAGAAGUGCGAAUGCUGACAUAAGUAACGAUAAAGCGGGUGAAAAGCCCGCUCGCCGGAAGACCAAGGGUUCCUGUCCAACGUUAAUCGGGGCAGGGU
rnacentral:rRNA from 1 species